GAUGAACGCUGGCGGCGUGCCUAAUACAUGCAAGUCGAGCGAACAGACGAGGAGCUUGCUCCUCUGACGUUAGCGGGGACGGGUGAGUAACACGUGGAUAACCUACCUAUAAGACUGGGAUAACUUCGGGAAACCGGAGCUAAUACCGGAUAAUAUAUUGAACCGCAUGGUUCAAUAGUGAAAGACGGUUUUGCUGUCACUUAUAGAUGGAUCCGCGCCGCAUUAGCUAGUUGGUAAGGUAACGGCUUACCAAGGCAACGAUGCGUAGCCGACCUGAGAGGGUGAUCGGCCACACUGGAACUGAGACACGGUCCAGACUCCUACGGGAGGCAGCAGUAGGGAAUCUUCCGCAAUGGGCGAAAGCCUGACGGAGCAACGCCGCGUGAGUGAUGAAGGUCUUCGGAUCGUAAAACUCUGUUAUUAGGGAAGAACAAAUGUGUAAGUAACUAUGCACGUCUUGACGGUACCUAAUCAGAAAGCCACGGCUAACUACGUG
rnacentral:rRNA from 1 species